rnacentral:rRNA from 1 species
AGCAGCCGCGGUAAUUCCAGCUCCAAUAGCGUAUAUUAAAGUUGUUGCAGUUAAAAAGCUCGUAGUUGAAUUUCGGGAUCAGUUCGCUGGUCGUGCCUCUGGUAUGUACUGGUGUUUCUGGUUCCUCCCUUCUGAAGAACUGUCAUGUCAUUAAUUUGGUGUGGCGGGGAAUCAGGACUGUUACUUUGAAAAAUUAGAGUGUUUAAAGCAGGCUCGCGCUUGAAUACAUUAGCAUGGAAUAAUGAAAUAGGACGUUCGAUCCUAUUUUGUUGGUUUCUAGGAUUGACGUAAUGAUUAAUAGGGAUAGUUGGGGGCAUUAGUAUUCAAUUGUCAGAGGUGAAAUUCUUGGAUUUAUUGAAGACUAACUACUGCGAAAGCAUUUGCCAAGGAUGUUUUCAUUAAUCAAGAACGAAAGUUAGGGGAUCGAAGA